rnacentral:lncRNA from 1 species
CAAGGGCUGUACAGUUCCUGGAGCUGGGCAGUCUUCUCAGAGUGGAGCCUGGUAACCGCGACCUCCCCGCCAGUUCCUGUGUGUUGCUGGCUGGAAAGGGGUAGUUGACAAACUCCCACCCAGCACAGUAUUUAUGUCGGUCAAAAAUGGAAAACUAUGUGUCCGGGCACGGCCCAGGAAGGAGGAUUCCUUCAGGCCAAGAGCAGCCUAGCAAUAUGGCGCAACCCCACCUCUGUAGUCCAACCUCAGCCUCCCAGCUACUUGAACCCCAAGAUUCAAGGCUCCAAUGAGCUGUGAUCUCACCACAGCACUCCUGCCUGCGAGACUGAGAGACCAAAGACCAACAAACUACCACAGCCACCAGUUCCGGAACCUGCCAAUGAUGGGCAACGGAAAGUGAGGGAGUUCAACUCUGUUUUCAGAGAAGUGGAAUAAUCAUAUCGCUGAUCUAUGUAAACAAGUUGAAGAAUUGUCUGACAGAAAAUACAUGAACUUGUGAAUUCAACACGUGAAGAUUUACAACUUGAUAAACCAGCUUCAGGAGUAAAGGAAGAAUGGUAUGCCAGAAUCACUAAAUGAAGAAAGAUGGUGGAUCAGCUUUUCUGCAAAAAAAUUUGGUUCCUGAAAGGGAGAGAGGAAAUCUUAGAUUUGUCAUUGCUGGGAACCACUGCAAGUAUUCAAGAAAUAUUCACUACUUCCAACCUCAUAAUCCUGCAGUCAUUUGUUACCUGUGAGUCAGGUGCGGGGGGAGCUGGGCAGUGCAGAAGACAGUGCCCUGCCCCGUGCAUUCUGGAGCAUUCAAUCUGCUGGGGAAACGUAUACUGAAGCCUUGGGGAGCACUGAAGCCAAGGUUCUACUGUACCAAAAAUUUGAAGGCCAUGCGAAUGAUCUGUAUGCGGAAGGACUACCAGAAAACAUUCCUUUCAGAAGUCCCUCGUGGUAUGGAAUCCCAAGGCUGGAAAACAUCAUUCAAGUGGGCAAUCGAAUUAAAUUUCUUAUUAAAAGUAACUCCAGUCAGACUCCAUUGUCUCCAGGUCGACUUUCGUCAUCAUCCACAACUCCUCCACACAAGCCCUGAACACGUGUCCAUCUCAAGCUCUUGGACUCACUGAGGCAGUAAAAGUACCAUAUUCUGUGUUUGAAUCAAACCCCGAGUUCCUGUAUGUAGAAGGCUUGCCAGACAGAAUUUCCUUUCCAAGCCCUACCUGGUUUGGAAUUCCAUGACUUGAAAGGAUCGUCUGUGGAGUAAUAAAACCAAGUUUGUUGUUAAAAAACCUGAACUAGUUAUUUCCUACUCGCCUCCUGGAAUGGCUAAUAAAAUAAACACUAAAGCUUUGCAGUCCCCAAAAAGACCAUGAAGCCCUGAGAGUAAUGGAAAGGUUCCUGAAAUUGAGGUCACUGUGGAAGCCUCAGCCGAGAUGUCUCACCCCACUCUCUCUGAUGCAACAAGAAGCCCCUGGGGAACGUUUCAGUCCCACUCUGUACUUCUGUCACAUGCUCAUCACAGUCUGAGCCACCUAAGCUGAAGAUUCCCUUGAGAACAAGGGCUAGCCUGUGAUUUCGUGACCUUUCUUCCAUUUGUGGUUCUUGCCAAGUGGAAUUUAAAUGACCUUUUAUCAAGAUGGAUAAACCCAAGUUUCCCAGUGCCAGAAUAUAGAAAAUGGAUGGAUAACUGAAUCUACCAUGAAAGACUUCAGAGUCCAGGAAGAGAGACUGACUGGGCAACAUCUUAUUCAGAAACAGGACCUUGCUGUGUCACUCAGGAUGGAGUUCAGUGGUCCUAUCAUGGCUCAUUGUAGCCUCAAACUCCCAGGCUCAAGCGAUCCUCCCACCUCAUCCCUCCCAGUAGCUGGGACUAUAGGU